rnacentral:lncRNA from 1 species
UUUUUUUCAAUUCUAUCCAAUUGAUACUAUCACGUCAGAAAUUGCUAAAAGGUCUAUUUGAGUAGGGCAUAAAUCAGUUGAUGUGUAACUAAAAAAGAAUAUUUUAAUAUCUAUUUACAUAUUUAUUACUCCCUCCGUCCCUAAUUAUUUGACGUUUUAGAGUUUUUCAUUUAUCCAUAAGUAUUUGACGUUUGUUCAAAUAUAGGAGAAUUCAUGACAAUUUUUCCAAAAUUACCCCUCAUUACUCUGCCUAUUUUUUUUAUACUUUAAACUCUUCCUCCCUCCUUAUCUCAACAAAACUCUCCUUAUCCCAAAAAUUUUUUUUAAGGUAUUAUAGACAAUUGAGUAUUAUAUUUAAUGCUUUCAAUUAUUAUCUUAAUUUUUGUGUCCACUUCUAAAAUGUCAAAUAAUUAGGGAUGGAGGGAGUAUAUAUUAAAGGGCAAAUUCGUCAAUCCACUUUAUAUUAAUUAUUUAUAAUAGAAAUAAUAAAAGAAAUGCUUAACCAAACAACUUGUUCGAAUCAAAUCAGAUAUGGUGUUAUUUAACAGUAGUGUGUUUUAAUGAUCAUGAGUAAGUUACUUCGGCAGAUUCUUCUUCUACUAUAGCCACCAGUGGCGGCGGAGGCUCAAAACCUUGGGCUCUAAGAGAGAAAGGAAAGAGAAGAGAGAAAGAUACGAAUUCAGUAAGAUAAGAGAAAAACACGAUAUAUAAAUGAGUCAUUCUAG